AAUUAAUUAAAUACAAUGCACCGUUACAAAUUAAAUACAAAGCUCUCUUACACCAAAGACAGUUGAAGCAUUAAUUUGCACACAAAAUUGGUGUAAAGCAUCCCCAGUGUCAGUUGAUAUUGAAGAGCUUGUGUCAGUUGAUAUUGAAGAGCUUGUGGAUGAAUUAGAAAAUCUGGAAUUAGAACUUGUUCCAAUUCCACAAUUGAAUGAAGAUGUAUCUGAUAUUGAUUCUGAUUAGCUAUGGUACUUUGAGCUAGUCUUGAUAUGACCAGACCAAUUAGAAAGAAUGAAUAUUCUUAUUAACAAGCUGGAAUUGUUGUAGGCUAAUUAGAAAGAAUGGUGAUUUUGAUUAUCAGGAAAUACACAUGCUUUUAUUAUGAUUUUCUACAGUUAUGUUAUUGUUCUGUUGAUUCCUGUAAUAAUUUUCUGAAAACCGUUGUUGUUCCUGCAAUGUUGUUGAUUUUUGUUCUGUUGCAGAAAAAUUAAAUUUCUACUGGAAAAUUGAAUUGUUCUUGAAUUUGCAAUUCAAUAAUUGUUCUUGA